rnacentral:rRNA from 1 species
GACUUGUGGGUAGCGGUGAAAUUCCAAUCGGGCCCGGAGAUAGCUGGUUCUCCCCGAAAUAGCUUUAGGGCUAGCCUCAAGGUGAGAGAUACGGAGGUAGAGCACUGAAUGUCCUAGGGGGUAUUGCACCUACCGAAGACUAUCAAACGCCGAAUGCCGUCAUCUUAUACUUGGGAGUCAGACUGUGGGUGAUAAGAUUCAUAGUCGAAAGGGCAACAGCCCAGAUCGUCAGCUAAGGUCCCUAAAUGUAAGUUAAGUGGUAAAGGAUGUGGGAUU